AUGUUAAUGAGAGUGGCCUUGUGGAUAAGGCAUCAGCCUCUGGAGUUGGGUAUUGUGGGUUCAAGUCCCAUCUAAGUUGUCUUUGAAGGACCACUAUAGAUUUAAUUACAGAUCAUUUCAACCAAUCAUUGCAAUGAAAAAAAAACUGAUGCAUCAACACAUCAAAGCACUCUCUUGCUGACAUCAGGGCUUUCCUGUUGCAGUCGGGUGUGCACGUCUCCAACACCACUAUAAGACGAUACUAUAGACAUCAAAGCCCUGUAGGCCUUCCUAGAAAAACAACUGCAAGGCAAGGAAAAUGAACAGUGCUGCACUUAAAACGAUUGACGAAAAACUGCACAAGGACAAUGAGCGAUCUGCUAAAAAGAUUCAGAGUGAGCUUCUGUUUAGAAUACAGUUAAAAGCAUCAGUCUGCAAUAUUAGAAAACCAGUAAAACAACUCAGGUGGACCUAUGGAAAAGCCAGGCUAUUUGCUUUAUACGAGCUUACAUGUCCUACAAAUUUAUUAAUAGGACAUACCCUAUUAAUAAACUGCCAUGUUGUGAAACCGAAAGCAAAGUAUCCAGUAAAAAUUCAUGUCUGGGGAGCCAUAUUCCAUCAGGGACCUGGACCG